rnacentral:rRNA from 1 species
UCUGUAAAGUUCCUUCGACGAGUCGAGUAGUUUGGGAAUGCUGCUCUAAAUGGGAGGUAUAUGUCUUCUAAAGCUAAAUACCGGCCAGAGACCGAUAGCGCACAAGUAGAGUGAUCGAAAGAUGAAAAGCACUUUGAAAAGAGAGUUAAAAAGUACGUGAAAUUGUUGAAAGGGAAGCGUUUAUGACCAGACUUGGGCUUGGUUAAUCAUCUGGGGUUCUCCCCAGUGCACUUUUCCAGUCCAGGCCAGCAUCAGUUUUCCCCGGGGGAUAAAGACUUCGGGAAUGUGGCUCUCUUCGGGGAGUGUUAUAGCCCGUUGUGUAAUACCCUGGGGGGGACUGAGGUUCGCGCAUAUGCAAGGAUGCUGGCGUAAUGGUCAUCAACGACCCGUCUUGAAACACGGACCAAGGAGUCGUCUUCGUAUGCGAGUGUUCGGGUGUCAAACCCCUACGCGUAAUGAAAGUGAACGCAGGUGAGAGCUUCGGCGCAUCAUCGACCGAUCCUGAUGUUCUCGGAUGGAUUUGAGUAAGAGCAUACGGGGCCGGACCCGAAAGAAGGUGAACUAUGCCUGUAUAGGGUGAAGCCAGAGGAAACUCUGGUGGAGGCUCGCAGCGGUUCUGACGUGCAAAU